UACGUAGGGUGCAAGCGUUUAAUCGGAAUGACUGGGCGUAAAGGGUGCGUAGGCGGUUAUGGAAAGCAAGAUGUGAAAUCCCCGGGCUUAACCUAGGAAUUGCAUUUUGAACUACCAAGCUAGAGUGUGUCAGAGGGAGGUGGAAUUCCACGUGUAGCAGUGAAAUGCGUAGAGAUGUGGAGGAACACCGAUGGCGAAGGCAGCCUCCUGGGAUAACACUGACGCUGAGUCACGAAAGCGUGGGUAGCAAACAGG
rnacentral:rRNA from 1 species